GUCGCUACUAGGGGACUACGAGCGUGUGCUUAAAACUCAAAGAACUUGGCGGCUUGUUAACUACCUAGGGGAAUAUGCGCCUUAAUCCGAUGGUACCCGUUUCAUCUUACUUGGGCUUGAAAAUGAGCAGUCGGUGUAUUGCCGUUAUCAGCUUGUUGUUGAGCAAAAAGAAACAGGCUUAAUGGUCAUUGGAAUAAACUAUUUCUUUGUACCGUGAAUUCAGGUCGAAAUACUGCCUAUGCUCAAGGGAGUGGGUGUUACAAUUAAAUUUAAAAUAACGGAUCUUAAGUUGAAACAUUUAAGUGAAGGUGAACUUAGGAGUAAGGAGGGAUUAAUAUGUUCUCCUGAACAUGAAACUAACUUGUGUACAAACUGCCCGUCGCUCUCGGCGAGAGUUGAGAUAAGUCGUAACAGG
rnacentral:rRNA from 1 species